CCUACGGGGGGCAGCAGUGGGGGAUAUUGCACAAUGGGGGAAACCCUGAUGCAGCGACGCCGCGUGUGGGAAGACGGUCCUCUGGAUUGUAAACCACUGUCCCCAGGGACGAAGAUGACGUUACCGGGGGAGGACGCUCCGGCUAACUACGUGCCAGCAGCCGCGGUAAUACGUAGGGAGCGAGCGUUGUCCGGAAUUACUGGGUGUAAAGGGAGCGUAGGCGGGACUGCAAGUUGGGUGUCAAAUCUACCGGCUCAACCGGUAGCCGCACUCAAAACUGCAGUUCUUGAGUGAAGUAGAGGCAGGCGGAAUUCCUAGUGUAGCGGUGAAAUGCGUAGAUAUUAGGAGGAACACCAGUGGCGAAGGCGGCCUGCUGGGCUUUGACUGACGCUGAGGCUCGAAAGUGUGGGGAGCAAACAGGAUUAGAUACCCUUGUAGUC
rnacentral:rRNA from 1 species